UACGUAGGUGGCAAGCGUUAUCCGGAAUUAUUGGGCGUAAAGAGCGCGCAGGUGGUUGAUUAAGUCUGAUGUGAAAGCCCACGGCUUAACCGUGGAGGGUCAUUGGAAACUGGUCGACUUGAGUGCAGAAGAGGGAAGUGGAAUUCCAUGUGUAGCGGUGAAAUGCGUAGAGAUAUGGAGGAACACCAGUGGCGAAGGCGACUUUCUGGUCUGUAACUGACACUGAGGCGCGAAAGCGUGGGGAGCAAACAGG
rnacentral:rRNA from 1 species